GGUGAGAAGAGCCGCAAUCACCACCUCUCACCCUCGUCGGGGAGGCCGUCUAACAAUAAUCCAGCAAGUGACUUGUCCUGUGGCAGGUUUUGUUGGCACAUUCAGAGCCAGUCUCGCUCUGAGUCCUGAGAGCCCUCAUCUCAGAGUUCGGGUCCCAGGCCUCCAGCUCCUUGUCGAAUCCGAGUCAUCAGCGCCGAUGGACAACGGCCCUUCCUCUGAGGCAUGAGGCCAGUCCUUACGGAUCUCCUCUGAGCUCCCGCGUCCCCACACCGGACAAUCAGUGCUCCAUCCUCAGAUGUCUUGGCCAAUCAGUGCUCCAUCCUCAGAUGUCUUGGCCACGUCUCAUGGCCACGCCGAGAAGUUCUCUAGAAAGAACUCUGAGCCUCCAAAUGCUUAUUGAAAUAUAUUACUCAGGAAAUUU